UACGAAGGGGGCUAGCGUUGCUCGGAAUCACUGGGCGUAAAGCGCACGUAGGCGGAUCGCUAAGUCAGGGGUGAAAUCCUGGAGCUCAACUCCAGAACUGCCUUUGAUACUGGCAAUCUCGAGUCCGGGAGAGGUGAGUGGAACUGCGAGUGUAGAGGUGAAAUUCGUAGAUAUUCGCAAGAACACCAGUGGCGAAGGCGGCUACAUGGACCAGCACUGACACUGAAGCACGAAAGCGUGGGGAGCAAACAGG
rnacentral:rRNA from 1 species